rnacentral:lncRNA from 1 species
AAUUCCUUGCUGUAUGAAAGAAUUCCUGUGUGACCUAAAGGCUCUGAAUUUUGGACUGUGACUCAUUCAUCUGUCUCAGUGAAGGGACUGGCUGUCUACAGAGGUGUGGCAGUUGCAUGUUCUUGCUGCUGGCUUUCAAGGUCUCAUGUCUUUGGCUGCUGAAAAUCUGUGCAUUGCUGUUCUUCUGGAGUACUCAUGGAAAGGUGAUUACUUCCAAAUGGUUCUUCCAGAAACACUUCGAUGACUACCUGUAAAAUGUUAGCUGUACAUUCUUGUUAACAAAACUUUGAAACAUUUAACAACUUCAGUUUGUAGGUAUCCUGGUAGUUCUCAGACGUAAGGUGGAUGAGAACAACGAUAAAUGAAAAAAGGAAAACCAAGAUUUUUGAAGUAACAUUCUUAGAGGGAACACCAUUUCUGAGCAGUCAGAGGUAUAAUGUUUAGGUAAGUUAAUUCAGUUGCCAUCUGAGAGAACUGAAAUUGAAUGUCUGAAAUAUAAGACAGGAGACAAACAAAUGGCAAUAAAGAAGCUGAAAUUGCUAUGGGGAAGAUCUUGUGAUAAAAGGAAUAUGCAGAAAUCAGAUGGUAGAAGUGGUAUGUGAGGAUGAAUCUGGAAGGCCUUCCCAAGGAGGAAUUAUCUUAUAUAGUGUUCCAAAAAAAAACCCCAAAACUGUCACCAGAUGAUUAGUUUGACUUUGAUGGUGAUGCCAUUCUUGAGUUCUUACUGAAGUAUACAGGCAGAAUUAUUUAAGCGGAUCAGUGCUUUUCUGUAUCUGUACUUUAAGAAUAAGGCCUUAUCUGGAGACUUAAAAUAUUCCAGAUUUAAUUGGAGAAUUCUGUGUGUAUAAAGUGCUUGACUAUGAAAAUAAUGAAAUAGGCUUGUAGGAAUAUCCGUAGAUUAUGAACAUGUGAUUGUAAAAUGUAUUGCAUAUUGCAAGAAUUUACAUGCAAACUUUCAUGUUUUGGUGGGGUUUUUUUGUGUACUUUCUCUAACUUGCACUGAUUAAUCAAUGUUUUUCAAAAUACCUCUUGCAGGUGUAGGCUUAAAAAGGGCAGUUAUUUUCUCUAAAUUGUGUCCCAUCUGGCUGUUGUGCUUCUCACUUCUGUUGUAGAAGUUCAGAGCCCACAGGAACUCUGAGC